rnacentral:rRNA from 1 species
UAGGGAAUAUUGCAAAAUGGGCGAAAGCCCGAUGCAGCAACGCCGCGUGGGCGAUGAAGGCCUUCGGGUCGUAAAGCCCUUUUUGAGGGGAUGAGGAAGGACAGUACCCUCAGAAUAAGCCUCGGCUAACUACGUGCCAGCAGCCGCGGUAAAACGUAGGAGGCGAGCGUUAUCCGGAUUUACUGGGCGUAAAGCGUGUGCAGGCGGAUUGGAGAGUUGGAUGUGAAAGCUCCCGGCUUAACUGGGAGAGGUCGUUCAAUACUUCCAGUCUUGAGUGCAGUAGAGGGAAGUGGAAUUCCGGGUGUAGUGGUGAAAUGCGUAGAUAUCCGGAGGAACACCAGUGGCGAAAGCGGCUUCCUGGACUGUAACUGACGCUCAGACGCGAAAGCUAGGGUAGCAAACG